rnacentral:rRNA from 1 species
CUGAACGCUGGCGGCAUGCCUUACACAUGCAAGUCGAACGGUAACAGGUUAAGCUGACGAGUGGCGAACGGGUGAGUAAUGUAUCGGAACGUGCCCAGUCGUGGGGGAUAACUGCUCGAAAGAGCAGCUAAUACCGCAUACGACCUGAGGGUGAAAGCGGGGGAUCGCAAGACCUCGCGCGAUUGGAGCGGCCGAUAUCAGAUUAGGUAGUUGGUGAGGUAAAGGCUCACCAAGCCGACGAUCUGUAGCUG